CUGUUUAUCAAAAACAUUUCUUUGAAGAUUUCAAUAAUUUAAAGUAAAACCUGCGUCAAUGAUUUUAGUAUGAAUUAAAUAGCCGCAGAAUAUCUGUGCUAAGGUAGCAUAAUGCAUUAGCUUUUUAAUUAAAAGAUAGAAUGAAAGGUAAAACGAGAUUAACUUUGUCUCAUAAUUAUAUAUUAAAAUUUAUAUAAAAGUAAAAAAGCUUUUAUUAAUUAACAAGACGAUAAGACCCCGAUAAACUAAAUAUUUUAACUAGGGCGGUUAUACAAAAAAACCUUAUUUUUAUAUUAAAACAAACCAAUAAUAAUUA
rnacentral:rRNA from 1 species